UACGGAGGGUGCGAGCGUUGUCCGGAUUUAUUGGGUUUAAAGGGUGCGUAGGUGGCCCGGUAAGUCAGUGGUGAAAUACAGCCGCUCAACGGUUGAGGUGCCAUUGAUACUGUCGGGCUUGAAAGAAUUGGAGGCUGCCGGAAUGGAUGGUGUAGCGGUGAAAUGCAUAGAUAUCAUCCAGAACACCGAUUGCGAAGGCAGGUGGCUACGAUUGAUUUGACACUGAGGCACGAAAGCAUGGGGAGCAAACAGG
rnacentral:rRNA from 1 species